rnacentral:rRNA from 1 species
UACGUAGGCAGCAAGCGUUGUUCGGAGUUACUGGGCGUAAAGGGUGCGUAGGCGGCUUUUUAAGUUUGGUGUGAAAUCUCCCGGCUCAACUGGGGAGGGUGCGCCCGAAUACUGAGAGGCUAGAGUGUGGGAGAGGAAAGUGGAAUUCCUGGUGUAGCGGUGAAAUGCGUAGAUAUCAGGAGGAACACCGGUGGUGUAAACGGCUUUCUGGACCAUAACUGACGCUGAGGCACGAAAGCGUGGGUAGCAAACAGG